rnacentral:rRNA from 1 species
CGACCAGGGACUCAGCGAAAUUGUCCUGGGGGUGAAGAUACCCUCUACCCCGCGGCAAGCGGAAAGACCCCAUGAACCUUUACUGUAACUUGACAGUGAGUUUCGGAUCGUUUUGCGUAGGAUAGGUGGGAGGCGUUGAAGCCGGGUUUCUGGAUUCGGCAGAGCCAACCUUGAAAUACCACCCUGAACGAUCUGGGAUUCUAACCUGGGGCCCCCUGAACGGGGUUGGGGACACUGUCUGGCGGGCAGUUUGACUGGGGCGGUCGCCUCCCAAAACGUAACGGAGGCGCACGAAGGUCACCUCAGGCUGAUUGGAAACCAGCCGUAGAGUGUAAAGGCAGAAGGUGGCUUGACUGUGAGAUCGACAGAUCGAACAGGUGCGAAAGCAGGUCUUAGUGAUCCGGUGGUCCCGUAUGGAAGGGCCAUCGCUCAUCGGAUAAAAGGUACUCUGGGGGC